AGCAGCCGCGGUAAUACGUAGGGGGCGAGCGUUGUUCGGAAUUACUGGGCGUAAAGAGAGCGUAGGCGGGAGAGUAAGUUAGGAGUGAAAUGCAUGGGCUUAACCCAUGGUCCGCUCUUAAUACUGCUUUCCUUGAGUGUAGGAGGGGAAAGCGGAAUUCCGGGUGUAGCGGUGGAAUGCGUAGAUAUCCGGAAGAAUAUCAAUGGCGAAGGCUGCUUUCUGGCCUAUUACUGACGCUGAGGCUCUAAAGCUAGGGGAGCGAACAGGAUUAGAUACCCUGGUAGUCCUAGCCGUAAACGUUGGGCACUGGAUGUUGGAGGGUUUCCCUUCAGUGUCGUAGCUAACGCGAUAAGUGCCCCGCCUGGGGAGUACGCCCGCAAGGGUGAAACUCAAAGGAAUUGACGGGGGCCCGCACAAGCGGUGGAGCAUGUGCUUUAAUUCGAUGAUACGCGAGGAACCUUACCUGGGUUUGACAUGGGAGUGAAAGCCGCCAGAGAUGGUGGCCCUUCUCUUCGGAGAACGCUCCACACAGGUGCUGCAUGGUUGUCGUCAGCUCGUGUCGUGAGAUGUUGGGUUAAGUCCCAUAACGAGCGCAACCCUUGCCCUUAGUUGCCAGCGGUUCGGCCGGGCACUCUAAGGGGACUGCCUGGUAUUUCCAGGAGGAAGGGGAGGAUGACGUCAAAUCAUCAUGGCCCUUAAGCCCAGGGCUAGACACGUGCUACAAUGGCCGGUACAAAGGGAUGCAAUGCCGCGAGGCUGAGCAAAUCCCUAAAACCGGUCUCAGUUCGGAUUGGAGUCUGCAAUUCGACUCCAUGAAGU
rnacentral:rRNA from 1 species